rnacentral:rRNA from 1 species
GGAGUUAGCCGGUGCUUCUUCUGCGAGUAACGUCACAGAUGUAAGGUAUUAACUUACACCCUUUCCUCCUCGCUGAAAGUGCUUUACAACCCGAAGGCCUUCUUCACACACGCGGCAUGGCUGCAUCAGGGUUUCCCCCAUUGUGCAAUAUUCCCCACUGCUGCCUCCCGUAGGAGUCUGGGCCGUGUCUCAGUCCCAGUGUGGCUGAUCAUCCUCUCAGACCAGCUAGGGAUCGUCGCCUAGGUGAGCCUUUACCUCACCUACUAGCUAAUCCCACCUGGGCUUAUCCAUCAGCGCAAGGCCCGAAGGUCCCCUGCUUUCCCCCGUAGGGCGUAUGCGGUAUUAGCAGUCGUUUCCAACUGUUAUCCCCCACAAAUGGGCAAAUUCCCAGGCAUUACUCACCCGUCCGCCGCUCGUCAUCUUCAAAAGCAAGCUUUUGAAAUGUUACCGCUCGACUUGCAUGUGUUAGGCCUGCCGCCAGCGUCAUCUGAGCAGAGACUACAACUCUCGACGAGACGGCGGCGCGACGACGCG